rnacentral:rRNA from 1 species
UGCGCAGGCGGACCUGCCAGUCAGUGGUGAAAUCCCGAGGCUCAACUUCGGAACUGCCAUUGAUACUACAGGUCUUGAAUACGGUUGAGGUAGGCGGAAUGAAGCAUGUAGCGGUGAAAUGCAUAGAUAUGCUACAGAACACCGAUCGCGAAGGCAGCUUACCAAGCCGAUAUUGACGCUCAGGCACGAAAGCGUGGGGAGCGAACAGGAUUAGAUACCCUGGUAGUCC